rnacentral:rRNA from 1 species
GAUGAACGCUAGCUACAGGCUUAACACAUGCAAGUCGAGGGGCAUCAGGAAGAAAGCUUGCUUUCUUUGCUGGCGACCGGCGCACGGGUGAGUAACACGUAUCCAACCUGCCCUUUACUCGGGGAUAGCCUUUCGAAAGAAAGAUUAAUACCCGAUGGCAUAAUGAUUCCGCAUGGUUUGAUUAUUAAAGGAUUCCGGUAAAGGAUGGGGAUGCGUUCCAUUAGGUUGUUGGUGAGGUAACGGCUCACCAAGCCUUCGAUGGAUAGGGGUUCUGAGAGGAAGGUCCCCCACAUUGGAACUGAGACACGGUCCAAACUCCUACGGGAGGCAGCAGUGAGGAAUAUUGGUCAAUGGGCGCUAGCCUGAACCAGCCAAGUAGCGUGAAGGAUGAAGGCUCUAUGGGUCGUAAACUUCUUUUAUAUAAGAAUAAAGUGCAGUAUGUAUACUGUUUUGUAUGUAUUAUAUGAAUAAGGAUCGGCUAACUCCGUGCCAGCAGCCGCGGUAAUACGGAGGAUCCGAGCGUUAUCCGGAUUUAUUGGGUUUAAAGGGAGCGUAGGUGGACUGGUAAGUCAGUUGUGAAAGUUUGCGGCUCAACCGUAAAAUUGCAGUUGAUACUGUCAGUCUUGAGUACAGUAGAGGUGGGCGGAAUUCGUGGUGUAGCGGUGAAAUGCUUAGAUAUCACGAAGAACUCCGAUUGCGAAGGCAGCUCACUGGACUGCAACUGACACUGAUGCUCGAAAGUGUGGGUAUCAAACAGGAUUAGAUACCCUGGUAGUCCACACAGUAAACGAUGAAUACUCGCUGUUUGCGAUAUACAGUAAGCGGCCAAGCGAAAGCAUUAAGUAUUCCACCUGGGGAGUACGCCGGCAACGGUGAAACUCAAAGGAAUUGACGGGGGCCCGCACAAGCGGAGGAACAUGUGGUUUAAUUCGAUGAUACGCGAGGAACCUUACCCGGGCUUAAAUUGCAGUGGAAUGAUGUGGAAACAUGUCAGUGAGCAAUCACCGCUGUGAAGGUGCUGCAUGGUUGUCGUUAGCUCGUGCCGUGAGGUGUCGGCUUAAGUGCCAUAACGAGCGCAACCCUUAUCUUUAGUUACUAACAGGUCAUGCUGAGGACUCUAGAGAGACUGCCGUCGUAAGAUGUGAGGAAGGUGGGGAUGACGUCAAAUCAGCACGGCCCUUACGUCCGGGGCUACACACGUGUUACAAUGGGGGGUACAGAAGGCAGCUAGCGGGUGACCGUAUGCUAAUCCCAAAAUCCUCUCUCAGUUCGGAUCGAAGUCUGCAACCCGACUUCGUGAAGCUGGAUUCGCUAGUAAUCGCGCAUCAGCCACGGCGCGGUGAAUACGUUCCCGGGCCUUGUACACACCGCCCGUCAAGCCAUGGGAGCCGGGGGUACAUGAAGUACGUAACCGCAAGGAUCGUCCUAGGGUA